rnacentral:misc_RNA from 1 species
GGAGGCUCUUUGUCUCCUCAUAGUUUGACCUCAAAAGUUCACCGAAAGACAACAAAUCUUCAGAUACCAGAAGCUUGUCGAACAAUGCAGCAAUGCCUGGGUCUCCUUUGGCGAACACCAUCUCAACCAAAUCAAUAGUUACCCUAAAGAAUGGCCAUGCAUUGUACAUUUCCUGCAGCAUGCGGAGGUUCUUGAUAUCCUUUUCGAUGGCAUACUUAAAUGCUGCUCCAAAGCCGAGCCAGACUGGAAGAUGGAAUCUAGUUUGAGUCCAAGCAAAGAUCCAAGGAAUAGCUCUAAGUGAUUCUAUGCCUCCGCUGGGUUUACGCUUUGAUGGACGGCUGCCAAUGUUCAUUCGACCAUACUCUAACUCAGGUGUGGCCAGGCGGAAAUACUCGACAAAUCGGGGUUCCUUAAAAACUAUUGAUCGAUACUUUUCUGUAGCAACAACUGCAAUUUCGUCCAUAAGUGCACGCCAUUCUGGUUUUGGAGAGACUGGUGGAUGCAUCCCAUGUUCAAGUGUAGCAGCAGUAUAACGUUGGAGUGUCCUAAAACACA